GGAACAACACAGACGGCUCGGGUCACUGGACGUGUCUAAAAGCAAAUUAUUAUCAUAAUAAUAAUUAUUAAACGCGUUAGUCCCGUCGGUCUGGAAAUAUGACAGAGUUCUUGUUAAAGAUAAGAAACAGCGUGGCGGAGAAAAAGAAAGCCCCUGUCGCUCAGGGCGACUUGCAGAAGUGCGGUUUAAGAGGGAUACAGCUGAGACCCUACCAGCUGGACGGAGUGGAGUGGUUAACUCAGUGCCUGAAGAACCAGCAGGGAUGCAUCUUAGGAGAUGAGAUGGGAUUAGGAAAAACCUGUCAGACGAUCUCUCUGCUGCUGUACGUGUCAGGAGCUCUUAAGAAGAAAGGUCCGUUUUUAGUCCUGAGCCCGCUCUCCGUCCUGGAGAACUGGCGAAAAGAGUUGGAAUGCUUCGCCCCGGCUCUGACUGUGCUGUGUUACAAGGGAGACAAAGAGAGACGUGCUGAGAUUCAGAGAAUGGCAGACACACAGGACGUCCACGUUCUUCUCACUACGUAUGAGCUGUGUCUCAAAGAUACCGCGUUCUUAAGACGGUGGAAGUGGAAGGUACUUGUAGUAGACGAGGCUCAUCGACUAAAGAAUCAGAACUCACUCUUGCACAAAACCUUGACAGAGUUUUCAGCAGAGUUCAGAGUCUUGCUGACAGGGACGCCCAUCCAGAACAACCUGCAGGAGCUCUACUCUCUGCUGAGCUUCAUUCAGCCCAGCAUCUUCACCGCUGAUGCAGCGGAAGACUUUAUCAACUCUUACUCAAAUGUUCAAAGUCAGCCUGCUCUUGCUGCUGAGCUGCAGAGCGUCCUGGAGCCUUUCCUGCUCCGUAGAGUCAAGUCAGAGGUGGCUGGAGAUCUGCCCAAGAAGACCGAGCUGGUGGUGUACCACGGCCUGGUGGCUCUGCAGAAGAAAUACUACAAAGCCAUUCUGAUGAAGGAUCUGGAGGCUUUUGGAAAUGAACAAGGCAACAAGACCCGGCUGCUGAACACCUUGAUGAACCUUAGAAAGUGCGUCAACCAUCCAUACCUGUUUGAUGGGGUGGAACCAGAGCCCUUUGAGAUGGGGGAGCAUCUCAUUGAAGCCAGUGGGAAGCUUCGCCUUCUCGACAGCUUGCUGAGCUCCCUGCACAAGGGGGGCCAUCGGAUCCUGCUGUUCUCUCAGAUGACCAGGAUGCUGGACAUUCUUCAGGAUUACAUGGAGUACAGAGGUUAUAGCUAUGAACGUCUGGACGGGUCUGUCCGCGGGGAAGAACGGAAUCUAGCAGUGAAGAACUUCAGCAGCCAAGAUAUAUUCGUCUUUCUGCUCAGCACUAAAGCAGGGGGCGUGGGCAUGAACCUCACAGCUGCUGACACUGUCAUUUUUGUGGACAGUGACUUCAACCCUCAAAAUGACUUGCAGGCUGCCGCACGCUGCCAUCGGAUUGGUCAGAACAGGCCUGUGAAGGUGAUCCGCCUCCUGGCCAGAGACACCGUGGAGGAAAUAAUGUUCGCUCGUGCUGUGUCCAAGUUGCACCUCACCAACACUGUCAUUGAAGAAGGUCGUUUCUCUUUACUGGAUCAGGCACAGUCAGCUACAGCAGGACUGCAGCUCAGUGAGAUCUUGAAGUUCGGGGUAGAUAAGCUGCUGUCAUCAGAAGAGAGCUCUAUACAGGAUGUGAAACUAGAGAAGAUCCUCGGUCCGUCACAUGACGGCCAGUGGUUGGAUGAGGAAGACUCCACCUCACUCAGAGAAGAAGAAGAGGAGGAGGAGGAGGAGAACGGCUCUGAAUCUGACGGACAGAACCACAUGUACUACUUUGAGGGCAAAGACUACAGUAAGGACCCCAGCGCUGACGACCACAGGGCCUUUGAUCGUCUGUUGGAGGAGCAGCUCGCCCAGUUUAAGAAAGCUGCAGGAGAAGGACGAACUCUGCGGCACAAAGCUGGAGUGUCAUUGUUAGUAGCCCCUGAGAUUCCAACAAGGAAGAGGAAACCUCUUACUGCGGUGGAGCUGGAGCUGAGGCGUCAGAGGAGGGAGGCGGCUGCUGCCAAAAGAGCCGCGAUCCAGGAGGACAUGAAGAAGAAGCAGCAAGAGAAGAAAUACAAGAAAAAAAUGGCAUGGUGGGAGUCCUGCGGCUACAGAUCACUGUGCCUGCAGUCUGUGGACAGUGAAGAAGACGAGGACGAGGAGGACGACGGCGGCAGCGUGUUCUCCACAGACUCUGACAGCACAGCUAUCCACUAUGUCCUGGGGGAUGUUACUCAUCCGCAUGCUGCUCAGGGAGAUGCUAUCAUCGUCCACUGUGUUGAUGACUCGGGUCACUGGGGCAGAGGAGGCCUGUUUACUGCUCUAGAGGUGCGGUCAGACGAACCACGGAAGCAGUAUGAGUUGGCUGGCAAGAUGAAAGAUCUGGACCUUGGAAACGUGUUGCUCUUCCCUAUCGAUGACAAACAGUCCAGACCAGAUGGCCAGGAUCGACUGGCCCUGAUAGUGGCACAGCAAAGAGACAGAGCCAAUAACUUGUCUGGGAUCCUUCUGUCUGCUCUGGACGGAGGUUUGAAGAAGAUUUAUGCUGCAGCCAAAAGACACAAAGCAAGUGUUCAUCUUCCUCGCAUCGGUCACUCCACCAAAGGCUUCAACUGGUACGGCACCGAGCGACUCGUCAGGAAACACUUGGCCUCCAGAGGCGUCCCCACGUUCAUAUACUAUCACAGCAGAGCUGCCAAGAAUACAGCCACACCUCAGGCAUCCACCUCUGCCACCUCAGCGUUACCGUCCCCCCCCGAGACACAGGUGCUUCACUCUGAUGACGGGACGCAGGCAGAAACCGCGGGCCCCUCUGCUCCUGUCCAGACCCGCGGCCCCGCAGAUCUCCCCAGUUUCAUGACGGGAGUCCGUGUGUUUUUCUACAACCUCCCUGCAUCAGAGAGGAAGAGGCUGGCCCGCUACCUUAUCACGUAUGAUGGAGAUGAGGACGAUAUGAUGAGUGCGGAGGUCACACACAUAGUUGCGGAGGUGGAAAACAACAUCCACUCACUGGUUAGUAUCGUUAUGAGGUUCACUGAUUGUGGUCUGACCUCUGACAUACACUCGCAGAGCAGUUUAUUAGGAACACAUACUAAUACUGGGUAAGUUCCUCCCUUUGCUCUUUAAACUGUUUCAGUUCCUCGUGGCACAAGAUGAUGGAAACUUUCGUCAGGUCAGUUUUGAGCCUGUGUCCACUGCAGCCUGAGAUCUGUUCCUAACUGACAGGUUAACAGAGUGGUUAUCUGAGUUACUGUAGCCUUUCUGUCAGCUCCAACCAGUCUGACCUCUGACCUCUCUCAUCCACAGAUCUGCUGUUCACUGGAUGUUUUUUUUAGUUUUUUGUACCAUUCUGAGUCUGUUGUGUGUGAAAAUCCACAGAGUUCAGCAGUUUCAGAAACAGACCAGCCUGUCUGUCAGUGACAGUAACGUCACGCUCAGAGUCAUGGACUCACAUUUAUCCCCUCAUUCUGAUGUUCGAUGUGAACAUUAACCGAAGCUCCUGAUCUGUGUCUGUGUGAUUUUAUCCUUGGCACUGCUGCCACAUGAUUGGCUGAUUGGAUCAUGUGUUCCUGAUAAAGUGCUCAGAGCUCCAGGAUCUGGUGCGUCAGUACACUCAGGCGGUCCCGGUGCGGAAGGCCUGGCUGGAGUCCUGCUUCUCCAAACAACGAAAAGUCAACACUGCACAGUUCAUACAUGUGCUCAGAUAACGCUCAUCCUCCGGUGUCC